rnacentral:rRNA from 1 species
UACGAAGGGGGCUAGCGUUGCUCGGAAUCACUGGGCGUAAAGCGCACGUAGGCGGCUUUUUAAGUUAGGGGUGAAAUCCCAGAGCUCAACUCUGGAACUGCCUUUAAUACUGGGUAUCUCGAGUCCGAGAGAGGUGAGUGGAAUUCCGAGUGUAGAGGUGAAAUUCGUAGAUAUUAGGAAGAACACCGGUGGCGAAGGCGGCCCACUGGAUCGGUACUGACGCUGAGGUGCGAAAGCGUGGGGAGCAAACAGG